UUUUAGGGGGGCUUAUUUACAACUCCUUAAGCACUAAAAAUAAUAAUUGUUUUCAGGACAUCAUGCUCUUUAUAUACUAUAAAGUGGUCUAAUCAUAUUUUAUUUUUUUUACAGGCAAAAGAGAAAAAUAUGGCUAAAACUUUAAAUUUUAUGUUUGCUCUGAUUUUAUUUAUUUCCUUGUUUCUUGUUUCAAAGAAUGUUGCUAUUGAUAUUUUUGUAUGUCAAACUGAUGCUGAUUGUCCAAAAAGUGAGUUAAGUAUGUAUACCUGGAAGUGCAUUGAUAAUGAAUGCAAUCUGUUUAAAGUCAUGCAACAGAUGGUAUGAGUAUCAGGCCCAAGAGAUUUAAUUUACGCCAUGCAAUGAAGAAUGAAUUCUUAAAAUAGAAAAAAAAAUUGUUGAAUAUGCCUUAUACUAGGAUAUUUCGUAAUUGGCAUUAGUUAUUAUGCUCUCACCCAAUAAUUGUAUUUUUUUUAAUUAUUUUUAUUUUUCAUAAUUUCAUAGACCUUGUAA